UGGGGGGGCUGUCGUUUUCCCUAUAAAUAUGUGGGAGUUUGUUCAACACUGAGUCACUGCUGCAAAAUUAUUUGGGGAUGAGACCCUGAAAUUCCCAGGCUGGACAUGGCCCUCUCUUCUGGCUCCUGAAAAUCACCUCCUGAUGUCCCCUGCCCUGUGUGCCUGUGCCAUGCCCAUCUGGGCUGACAGCAGCAGUGGCAGCUGCUCCUGCUGGGUGCUGCUGGGCUGGAGCCCUGUGGUGCCAGCCCCGGUGUCUUUGGGGCAGGGGCUGCUUUUCCUGGCUUGAAUAAAGACGAGCACUUUGGCAUUGCA